AUGUCUGCAAAAGAUGACAGCUUUGGCAGCAGCUACCUCCCUUCUUUCGACGAAACAGACGAUCUCAAAAUUACCAAGCCAGACGUAGUGAGAUUUGCCCUGAUCAUAAUAUUUGUUUGCGGAAUGAUAUUUAGCGACAUUACAGAGAUUCCCACCGUCCCGAAAUUCUCCGUCGACAAUGCUUCUCUUACCCAAUUCAACUACACCAAAACCAACCACUCUCUCUCCUACAACCUUGCCCUCAACAUCACCAUCACAAACUCCAAGAAGUACAUCGGCCUCGAGUACAGUGACAUCCAAGUCACUGCAUAUUAUGGAAAGACGAGGUUUGCUUUUGUGACUUUGGUGAACGAAACUGCAUCGUUUCACCAAAACCCUAAUACCACUGUCAGCUUUGAGAAUGUGGCUGUUCAAGGGCAGAAGUUGGUGCUGUUUGCGGAAUCAAAUUUUAACAAGUAUAGUUUGGGGACCGCUGCCGGCGUUUACAGUGUUGACCUUUUGAUUGCUUUCAAGGAAACGUUCCUCUCCGGCAAUGCCAUCUGCAAUCUAAAGCUUCCUUUGGGUUUUAAUGGAACAGCCGCGCCUGGUUUCCAGGCUACAAAGUGCUGGAGGAGACGUUAUUAUUAA
rnacentral:lncRNA from 1 species